rnacentral:rRNA from 1 species
GACGAACGCUGGCGGCGUGCCUAAUACAUGCAAGUAGAACGCACAGUUUAUACCGUAGCUUGCUACACCAUAGACUGUGAGUUGCGAACGGGUGAGUAACGCGUAGGUAACCUGCCUGGUAGCGGGGGAUAACUAUUGGAAACGAUAGCUAAUACCGCAUAAUAUUAAUUAUUGCAUGAUAAUUGAUUGAAAGAUGCAACUGCAUCACUACCAGAUGGACCUGCGUUGUAUUAGCUAGUAGGUGAGGUAACGGCUCACCUAGGCGACGAUACAUAGCCGACCUGAGAGGGUGAUCGGCCACACUGGGACUGAGACACGGCCCAGACUCCUACGGGAGGCAGCAGUAGGGAAUCUUCGGCAAUGGACGAAAGUCUGACCGAGCAACGCCGCGUGAGUGAAGAAGGUUUUCGGAUCGUAAAGCUCUGUUGUAAGAGAAGAACGGGCGUGAGAGUGGAAAGUUCACACUGUGACGGUAUCUUACCAGAAAGGGACGGCUAACUACGU